AGAGUUUGAUCAUGGCUCAGGAUGAACGCUGGCGGCAUGCCUAAUACAUGCAAGUCGAACGAAGUGCUUUAUGCACUUAGUGGCGAAUGGGUGAGUAACACGUAUUUAAUCUACCUAAUAGUGAGGGACAACAGUUAGAAAUGACUGCUAAUACCGCAUAGUAUAUUUUAUGGCAUCAUAAAAUAUUUAAAGGCGCUUCGGCGUCGUUAUUAGAUGAGGAUGCGGCGUAUUAGCUUGUUGGUAAGGUAAUGGCUUACCAAGGCAAUUAUACGUAGCCGGCCUGAGAGGGUGAACGGCCACAUCGGGACUGAGACACGGCCCGGACUCCUACGGGAGGCAGCAGUAAGGAAUUUUUCACAAUGGACGAAAGUCUGAUGGAGCAAUGCCGCGUGAUUGAUGACAGCCUUAGGGUUGUAAAAAUCUGUUAUAGAGAAAGAAUUGCCAGUAUAGGAAAUGAUAUUGGCUUGACGGUACUUUAUCAGAAAGACACGGCAAACUAUGUGCCAGCAGCCGCGGUAAUACAUAGGUGUCAAGCGUUAUCCGGAUUUAUUGGGCGUAAAGAGUGCGCAGACGGUAUGAUAAGUUUGAGGUUAAAGGCUAGGGCUUAACCCUAGUUCGCCUUGAAAACUGUCUUACUAGAGUGUGGUAGAAGUUGAUGGAAUUUCAUGUGUAGCGGUGGAAUGCGUAGAUAUAUGAAGGAACACCAGUGGCGAAGGCGAUCAACUAUGCUAUUACUGACGUUCAUGCACGAAAGCGUGGGGAGCAAAUAGGAUUAGAUACCCUAGUAGUCCACGCUGUAAACGAUGAGUACUAAGUGUCGACAUUAGUCGGUGCUGCAGCUAACGCAUUAAGUACUCCGCCUGAGUAGUAUGCUCGCAAGAGUGAAACUCAAAGGAAUUGACGGGGA
rnacentral:rRNA from 1 species